UACGUAGGGUGCGAGCGUUGUCCGGAAUUAUUGGGCGUAAAGGGCUCGUAGGCGGUUUGUCGCGUCGGGAGUGAAAACACUGGGCUUAACCAAGUGCUUGCUUUCGAUACGGGCAGACUUGAGGCAUUCAGGGGAGAACGGAAUUCCUGGUGUAGCGGUGAAAUGCGCAGAUAUCAGGAGGAACACCGGUGGCGAAGGCGGAUCUCUGGGCAUUACCUGACGCUGAGGAGCGAAAGCAUGGGGAGCGAACAGG
rnacentral:rRNA from 1 species